AUUAAAUCUGGAGGAAUGAGGGAGAGGGAGGAAGCACAGGUCACAUCAAAGUUUGGGUCCUGAGUAACCUGAUGGGUGGUGGCACUUGCCAGACUGUGGAUGAGGAUCACGGCUCCACCGAGCGAGGUCUGACCUGGACACUUCGGGUCGUCAGCAUUCCAAGCAGCCAACGCUCUGCUCUAGAAGGAGUAACUUCAGCUGAGCGCGUCUGCCUGCACAUUGGCUCCCACUAAUGGGAUUCAGAUGCAGCCAGGUCUCGCUGCAAGACUUCCUGCUGACAGCGAAGACAGGCCCACAAGAUAUCAUCCCCAGAAUGUGCCGCAGGAAAGAAGAUUAGCCCCUUGGCAGGGCUGCAAUCGAUCAUUCCAGGCUCUCGCUUCUCGACCCAGCUGUUGUCUGGUCCCUGGCUGAUGCCGCCAACUGCAUCAUCACCUGCUUGAUUCACUCUACAAAUAUCAUCUGAACAACAUCUAUGUCCAGGACACCUGUUCCAUGUGCUGUGACAGUUCUAGGCACACACAGAGUCUUCAUCUGGAAAUGGAGUCAAAGAAAGGAAUAGUCACGAAGAUUAACUGAGGUACUGGUUGCAAAGUAUAAGGCUGGUGUCUGCCUUGGAAUAAGCUGAGAAGCUGGUUCACCUGUCCUGUAUCCUGCUGGAUUCCCUGAGCAAGGUGCAUUCUCCUUCCGAAUAAGCAGUGAGCUCACCACCUGCCCGUCUUGUAUGGGUGAGGAGAAACCUGUCAUACGUCUCCCCUAAGAAGAAGGUGGAAGCCUCUCCGUCCAUUUCAGCUCUGAUUCCAGACCAUAUGCGAGCCCCAGGCUUGUAGAAACAGAGAGGAUAACAGGCCACUGCCCUCCAGGUCACUGCUCAAGAAGACAGAGAGCUGAAAUUAUACCCUUUUCAGAUGGUCGUGUCGGGAAUGUAGGGACCUGACGGCAUGGCAGAGUCACCAUCUCAACCUCAGAGUCUCUACAGGGACGUCAUAGCUGUGGGGAGAGAAGAGGACUUCAACCAGAACUUGCUGUAGCCCAGGGCAGGUCCUGUGUGGCUGCAGGGCCUCCACGCGACAAGACCCUAAUGGUGAGGAGAGACUCUCUUGCUACUCGGCGGGUCUUGCUGGACUGGCACCAUUGGCCUCACCUGGGGCUUCUGAGAAAUGCAGACUCUCAGGCCCACCUGGACUUACUGACCGGAAUGUGCACUUUAACUGGAUCCCCAGCCCAUCUCAUCUGAACCCUCAGUGCUCUUCAUGUCUGUGCCAGAGAAACAUAAGAUUUAAGAGCUUACUAAUCACCAGAUGCUCUGCUGCUCUUUACAUCCACGAGACAGAUUCUUUCACUGUCAGCAUCUCCAUCACACAGAGACAAAAGCAGACCUGGAUUAGGAGGAAGUCUGCUGGCAGCUACCCAGCAGAUGCGAGGGCAGCAGUUGGGGUCCAGUGUGUGUUUGCUGGGCCCCCGGGCCAUUCGCUCAAUUUUAGGUCUACAGUCGCAUGUGAUCAAUGCUCUCCACCGGUGCCCUGGCUGACGUCCCCGGUUAUUUCUCAGUUGACAGAUUCCUCCGAAGGACGGUCCAGCUUUCCUUCCAAUCUGCUGGCCUGAAGGAUCUAAAGAGGCUUAAGGUCCAAACCAGAUGCACGAGCAACAGCCUUGCACAGCUUCCUCCACCUGCAGCCACAAGUGUGAAAGGUCCAAUCCUGAUAAGGAAUCUGUUCUGUAGUGCUCCUAGUCUUUCUGCUUCUGUGAUCACACCCUGACUUCCCACCUGCACGUAUCAAAGGGCAGCCUGUUACAGCGGCUAGAGGAGGAGACGACUGAGAAGGGGUCUCCAGCACGUCUCCCUAGGACUCCAGGCAGGGAAAAGAGAAGGACAUCUCCUCGCUCUCUUCUCCAGAGAGAAGGCGUGUCUUGUCCAAGGCAGGGGCUUGGGAAAGACGAGACUCACAAGGAUGGGACAGCCCAGGCCAGCUUAGGCAGGUGGACGGCGGGGGCUUUGGACGGGCCUCACCACAUUUGAGUGCUGGCUCUACCCCUCACUGCAGACCUUAGACCAGCCAUGUGGCCGCCAGGGCUCCAGCCUCUUCACCUGCAAAGUGGAACCCUCCCCACUGGGUUUCUCUGAGGAGCACGGAGGUCACUGGAUGUACACUGUGCACAUGGACAGCACUGAAUGAGCAUUAACUGCCUCUGCUUUCAACCCCAAGGGGGUCCCAGAGCAGGAGAUGGCAGCAAGGAGCCCGCGCAACAUCAGCAGAUGCUGGUGGGAAGGAAGCUGCAGCCUCUGCAGAAAGCUGUCUUGUCUUGGGGUCACGGUUGGACCCUGUCUGUGGACUAACAGCUCAGACCCACCUUGGGCCCAUCCAGCUGCACUGACGCCCUGCUCUGCUCCAUCCUCGGGCCCCGAGCCAAAGCCCUCAUAAUCCAUGCCCCAGGGAGACGUCGUCCACAGCAAACCGCUUCUCCUCUUUGUCUGACCCGAGGCUUGUAGCUUUUUAUUUAUCUUACACACCAAAAAGCUUCAAGAUAAAUUCCUUUCCAGGUUAUUAUUGCAUUCUUAUCUCAGAAACCUGUUUGCAUCUCCCCUUUCUGCUUAUUCUUGGAAUAUUAAGGGUUCUUACCCCGGGAUUUAGGAAAUUCACGAACUCUUGAAAGUAAAUGUAAAGUUUAGUCUGUGUGUGGGGUGUGUGUGUGUGUGUGUGUGUGUGUGUAGUAUUUCUGGGUGGGGGAGCUUCAUAGCUUUCGCCAGGUUUUCAGGAAGAAAGCAACACUGCUUUAGAUGGUCUAUUCUAUUAAAAUGUCCUAAUCGUAUUAUUUUGCACUAUUGGUCUUAACCGCUUCCAGUUCCCUUGGGUGUGAGCAGAGAAGAAAGCUUAAAUGGAUCGAUAACCACAAAGGGAUCCCGUGUGUUGGUCUUACCACUCCACCGCAGGCCAGAUAGCCCCAUGCUAUUCAGUUUGUUCUGCAUCCUUCGGCCGAGUUAGGCCACCGGAGCUAGAUGCUCUGUUGGCAGUCCUCAAAGUGUAGCCCCCACUCAGCAGCAUCACCAGGAAUGAUUCUGGGCCUCCACCCCAGACCAACUGAAUCAGAG
ensembl:lncRNA